rnacentral:misc_RNA from 1 species
UGUGGGAGCGAGCCUGCUCGCGAUAGCGGCGUGUCAGUCAACGUUGAUGUUGCUGAUCCGCCGCUAUCGCGAGCAGGCUCGCUCCCACA